GCUAGGAAUGUAAUGGCUUGGGGGAUAGGUGGUGAUCUUUAAGUCGUCCCUUUCCUUUAUAUAUUGUCACCAUAGCCAGAGUCGUAAGAGCCUUUCAUGUACCUAUCCUGCUUAGCCACAGUCUGCCCAGCUGCCUGACAUCCUAAAUGAGGUGCCAAGAGACAUGGCUGCAUAUGGUGAUGCUCUAUUUGCCACUUGGUCACAGGGACCAUUUUACAGUAUGUUACGAGAGCCAGGCUGGAUGAAUGCAACAGUCCUAAUGAUAAUCAGAAGCUUCAGGUAACACCAAGAGCUUGUUAAGGCCCAAGGGACUCAUUUAUACAUUUGAAGACACUUCAAACUAUGGCUGAAGGAUGGUUUGAGGGGAAGAAGUUGGUGAAGAUGGAAUGAUUGCAAAUAAAAGAGAAGGGCCCAUGAAUGGAGCGAGAAUCCCGGGAAGAUAGGAGUCAAUAAUUAACAACUACACCACCACCUGCAACAUCGCCAGAACUGCCAGAAGAACCCUACAGAAAUGAG